rnacentral:rRNA from 1 species
UGCAUAGCCGACCUGAGAGGGUGAUCGGCCACACUGGAACUGAGACACGGUCCAGACUCCUACGGGAGGCAGCAGUAGGGAAUCUUCCGCAAUGGGCGAAAGCCUGACGGAGCAACGCCGCGUGAGUGAUGAAGGUCUUCGGAUCGUAAAACUCUGUUAUUAGGGAAGAACAUAUGUGUAAGUAACUGUGCACAUCUUGACGGUACCUAAUCAGAAAGCCACGGCUAACUACGUGCCAGCAGCCGCGGUAAUACGUAGGUGGCAAGCGUUAUCCGGAAUUAUUGGGCGUAAAGCGCGCGUAGGCGGUUUUUUAAGUCUGAUGUGAAAGCCCACGGCUCAACCGUGGAGGGUCAUUGGAAACUGGAAAACUUGAGUGCAGAAGAGGAAAGUGGAAUUCCAUGUGUAGCGGUGAAAUGCGCAGAGAUAUGGAGGAACACCAGUGGCGAAGGCGACUUUCUGGUCUGUAACUGACGCUGAUGUGCGAAAGCGUGGGGAUCAAACAGGAUUAGAUACCCUGGUAGUCCACGCCGUAAACGA